rnacentral:pre_miRNA from 1 species
GAGAAUCAUCUCUCCCAGACAAUGGCACUCUCAAACAAGUUUCCAAGUUGUUUGAAAGGCUAUUUCUUGGUCAGAUGACUCUC